rnacentral:rRNA from 1 species
GGUUGAUCCUGCCGGAGGCUACUGCUAUUGGGAUUCGAUUAAGCCAUGCGAGUCGAGAGGGUUCGGCCCUCGGCAGACGGCUCAGUAACACGUGGAUAAUCUACCCUUAGGUGGAGGAUAACCUCGGGAAACUGAGAAUAAUACUCCAUAGGUCUAGAAUGCUGGAAUGCAUUUAGGCUGAAAGUUCAGGCGCCUAAGGAUGAGUCUGCGGACUAUCAGGUAGUAGUCAGGGUAAUGACCUGACUAGCCUACGACGGAUACGGGUUGUGAGAGCAAUUGCCCGGAGACGAUAUCUGAGACACGAUAUCGGGCCCUACGGGGCGCAGCAGGCGCGAAAACUUCACACUGUGCGAGAGCACGAUGAGGGGAUCCCAAGUGCUGGUUCGUAAGAGUCAGCUGUUUCUUUGUCUAAAAAACAGAGAGAGUAAGGGCUGGGUAAGACGGGUGCCAGCCGCCGCGGUAAUACCUGCAGCUCAAGUGGUAGCCGCUAUUAUUGGGCCUAAAACGUUCGUAGCCGGUUUAGUAAAUGCUUGGGUAAAUUGUGUCGCUUAACGAUACGAAUACCGGGUAGACUGCUAAACUUGGGACCGGGAGAGGUUAGAGGUACUCCUGGGGUAGAGGUGAAAUUCUGUAAUCCUGGGGGGACCACCAGUGGCGAAGGCGUCUAACCAGAACGGGUCUGACGGUGAGGGACGAAGCCCUGGGGCGCAAACCGGAUUAGAUACCCGGGUAGUCCAGGGUGUAAACGCUGCUCGCUUGAUGUUAGUUGGGCUCCGAGCCCACCUAGUGUCGGAGAGAAGUUGUUAAGCGAGCUGCCUGGGAAGUACGGUCGCAAGACUGAAACUUAAAGGAAUUGGCGGGGGAGCACAGCAACGGGUGGAGCGUGCGGUUUAAUUGGAUCAACGCCGGAAAACUCACCGGGGGCGACGGUUACAUGAAGGCCAGGCUGAUGACCUUGCCUGAUUUUCCGAGAAGUGGUGCAUGGCCGUCGUCAGUUCGUACCGUGAGGCGUUCUGUUAAGUCAGACAACGAACGAGACCCUCAUCUUUAGUUGCAACUGGUAAGUCCGCUUAUUAGGCACACUAAAGAAACCGCUGGCGAUAAGUCAGAGGAAGGCGAGGGCAACGGUAGGUCAGUAUGCCCCGAAUCCCCCGGGCUACGCGCGCGCUACAAAGGCUGGGACAAUGGGUUUCUACACCGAAAGGUGACGGUAAUCCCGAAACCUAGUCGUAGUUCGGAUUGAGGAUUGUAACUCAUCCUCAUGAAGCUGGAAUCCGUAGUAAUCGCAAAUCAAAAUCUUGCGGUGAAUAUGCCCCUGCUCCUUGCACACACCGCCCGUCAAACCAUGCGAGUUGGGUCUGAGUGAGGAUGUGGUCUUUGCCACGUUCAAACUUAGGCUUAGUAAGCGGGGUUAAGUCGUAACAAGGUAUCCGUA